UGUUGAAGAAUCUAACAAGCCUAACACUUUUGCACAGUAUGUAGUCAAAGUUAUAUGCUUUUAGAUACAGUGUCCCUAACCUUUUUCUUGACAGACACGGGCUAGGAAUUAGUUCAGCUGUCCUGACAAGUUGUGGACGGGGGGGGCACAUCAUGUUCUGCCAUGGUGAAAGAUCUGGCAGUGGCAGUGUUUGGGAGAGAGACACUGGCCACACAUGGGCUGUCUGGAAGGGCUGGCAAUGCUAACACAGGCGCUUUGGCAAAGCCAGCUCUUGACCAGGACAAAGUUGUGCUGAUCCUAGAAACAGUACAAAAAAAGUUCCCUGAUGUUCCAAAAAAGUUCAUCAGGGCAACACUAAGAGAAAAGUUAAAUGAUAAGCACAAGUUACGAGUAAGGAAAACAGUGUAGAGGCUUCAUUUGGCUGUGAAUUGGUCUCUGCUUCGCUCUGCUCUUACAGUUUCAAUAAAUACAAUAAAUAAUUUGUGAAAAUACAUUGUUUGUUGUGAAGUUAUUCCCCCUGCAUUAAUCCUACAGAAGACAUAAGAAGACCUGUAUAAUUGCAUAUACAGGUCCUUCUCAAAAAAUUAGCAUAUUGUGAUAAAAGUUCAUUAUUUUCCAUAAUGUAAUGAUAAAAAUUAAACUUUCAUAUAUUUUAGAUUCAUUGCACACCAACUGAAAUAUUUCAGGUCUUUUUAUUGUUUUUAAUACUGAUGAUUUUUGGCAUACAGCUCAUGAAAACCCAAAAAUUCCUAUCUCAAAAAAUGAGCAUAUCAUGAAAAGGUUCUCUAAACGAGCUAUUAACCUAAUCAUCUGAAUCAACUAAUUAACUCUAAACACCUGCAAAAGAUUCCUGAGGCUUUUAAAAACUCCCAGCCUGGUU
ensembl:lncRNA